AGCGGCGGACGGGUGAGUAAUGCCUAGGAAAUUGCCCUGAUGUGGGGGAUAACCAUUGGAAACGAUGGCUAAUACCGCAUAAUAGCUUCGGCUCAAAGAGGGGGACCUUCGGGCCUCUCGCGUCAGGAUAUGCCUAGGUGGGAUUAGCUAGUUGGUGAGGUAAGGGCUCACCAAGGCGACGAUCCCUAGCUGGUCUGAGAGGAUGAUCAGCCACACUGGAACUGAGACACGGUCCAGACUCCUACGGGAGGCAGCAGUGGGGAAUAUUGCGCAAUGGGCGCAAGCCUGAUGCAGCCAUGCCGCGUGUGUGAAGAAGGCCUUCGGGUUGUAAAGCACUUUCAGCAGUGAGGAAGGCGGAGUCGUUAAUAGCGGCCUCGUUUGACGUUAGCUGCAGAAGAAGCACCGGCUAACUCCGUGCCAGCAGCCGCGGUAAUACGGAGGGUGCGAGCGUUAAUCGGAAUUACUGGGCGUAAAGCGCAUGCAGGUGGUUUGUUAAGUCAGAUGUGAAAGCCCGGGGCUCAACCUCGGAAUAGCAUUUGAAACUGGCAGA
rnacentral:rRNA from 1 species